ACGCAGGAACUAGUUACAACGUGGCUGCGUAGUGCCGUGUUGUCGUUCCCCCUGCGAAAAGCAAAGCUUGUCUCUUUCUAUCUCUGUCUGCUUUGAUUUACUCCGGCAGCCAGGGACGCUUGGUUUCAAACAU